rnacentral:rRNA from 1 species
AUGGGUAAAAGAUUUGACUUUUUCCGAGCUCGGUUGGUCUGGCAAGAAAAGGAGGGUGUGCGUAAAUAUCAUCUGGUAAACUGGAUUGAUGUGUGCCAACCUAGAGAUCAGGGUGGCCUGGGAGCUUCUAAUUUAGAUAUAAAGAAUAUAAGUCUUUUGUGCAAGUGGCUUUGGCGGCUAGAGAACGAGGAAUCAUCUCCUGGCAACUCCCAUUUCUGGAAUGGUUUGAUGGAGGUUAAAGAUAUUUUUUAUAGAUGCUGCCAGAGAGUUGUGGGUGAUGGUCGCAAAACUAGAUUUUGGGAGGAUGUUUGGUUAAGAGACAAACCCCUAUGUUUGGUUUUCCCACGUCUUUACAACUUGACCUUUUGUAGGCAUGUCACGGUCGCGAAGGUGUUUAGCCAGGAUUUUGAUUGCAUCAGAUUUAGGAGAUGUUUGUAUGGGGAGACCCUUGAGAUAUGGAACAAAUUACAUGAUAUGUGUAGUCAGGUGACCUUGUCGGAGGAACCUGACAGAGUUAAAUGGCUUCUUACCUCUUCUGGGAAAUUUUCAGUUAAAUCUUUGUACCAUUAUCUUGUUGCUCGACAACUUGUUUUCCCUUAUAAGUUGCUAUGGAGAAUGAAGAUGCCGUUGAAAAUUAAAGCCUUCUCCUGGUUAGUGAUCAAGAAUAGGAUCCUAACCAAAGAUAACUUAAGUAAAAAAGGGUGGAAAGGUGCUAAGCAUUGUGAGUUUUGUGACAGUAUAGAGAAUGUGGAUCACCUUUUCUUUUCUUGUUCCAUGUCUAGGUUCUUAUGGAGUAUUGUGGGGUGUUCCUUGGGUAACCAAAGAUCCCCAGUGUCUUUCCUUGAUUUAUGCCAGAAUUGGUUGCCUAACUAUAUUGGCAAAGAUAGAGUAGUUGUUAUGCUUGGUGUUGCUGCUUUGCUAUGGUCUAUUUGGAAAACAAGAAAUAAAUCAUGCUUUCAAGGUGUAAUGCCCAAUGAUCCUACUGAUAUUAUUAUGUCUGUUUGCUCCCUUCUGUAUUCAUGGAAAAUUUUGCAGAAAAAAGGACUACAAAACACGCUACAACUAGUCGCUAGAAGGAUUGCCCAGGUGACUCGGGAUGUCUUCAGGAGAGGAUAUGGGUGGGCGCCGUAUGUGAGGAGAAUCUGA